rnacentral:lncRNA from 1 species
UUCCCUUUCUCGGUUAUUAGGAUACGAGUUGUCUUACUUGAUUAUCCGAGUAUUCGUCAUCCAUUCAAAACACCUUAAUUAUCAUCAAAUCCUUUUACUAUUAAGGAUGAAACAAAAAGCGGUCUAGAGUCUCCUAUUCCCUUUCCCGAUUAUUAGGAUACGAGUUAUUUUACUCGACUAUCCGAGUAAUCGUCACCCAACCAAAAACAUCUC